GUCGAAAUACAUAGAAAUGGUGCAGUUACUUUUAUUGUACAUAAGAGCAACACGAACUACCAACUGGAGUCUUCAUCUAAGUGCUCUGCGAUCUAUGAUUCCAUGGUUUUUUGUAACUGAUCGUGUCAAUUAUUCACGUUACGCACCUUGUUAUUGGAUGGAAAUGAUGCGGUUGGAACAAACUAAUCCCUACGUUGCCCACAACAUUUCAAAUAACUGGACCGUACAAAGGCAAGAUCGAUAUUCGUUCUCCGGUGUAGCAUGCGAUCAAACGAUCGAGCAGACUUUAAACAGAGACUCCAAACUGAAAGGAGGGUUAGUUGGAAUAACAUUGAAUAAAGGC